AGGUUAAGCUAUAAAGAGCAUAGGGUGGAUGCCUAGGCACUGAGAGCCGAUGAAAGACGUGAUAAGCUGCGAUAAGCUGCGGUAAGGAGCAAAUAUCCAUUGACCCGCAGAUUUCUGAAUGGGGAAACCUACGCAAGAAGACCUUGCGUACUCAUACAUGAAUACAUAGUGUAUGAGAGGGAACCCGGGGAACUGAAACAUCUAAGUACCCGGAGGAAGAGAAAGAAACAUCGAUUUCCUGAGUAGCGGCGAGCGAAAGGGAAAGAGCCCAAACCAGAGGAUUUAUCCUCUGGGGUUAGGACUGCAUAAUUGAUCUGCAAUUGAUAGGAGAACGGUCUGGGAAGUCCGGCGAGAAAGCGUGAAAGCCGCGUAUCCGAAAUCGAAAGCAGCAAGGCAGUAUCCAGAGUACCACGAGACACGAGAAACCUUGUGGGAAUGAGCGGAGACCACUCCGUAAGGCUAAAUACUACUCAGUGACCGAUAGCGCAUAGUACUGUGAAGGAAAGGUGAAAAGGACCCCGGGAGGGGAGUGAAAGAGAACCUGAAACCCUGUGUUUACAAGCUGUCGAAGCACGCAAGUGCGACGGCGUACUUUU
rnacentral:rRNA from 1 species